CCCGGAGCAGAAGCGUCGGAAGGUCCCUGUGUCCCCGCCGAGGACUCUGGACUAGGCACCCCAGGAGCACCUCUGCUUUUCCGACGGCAGGACGCCCACAGAAACCGAGAGGCCUGGUAACUGUGGAACUUUUGCCUGAUGGGUUUGUGGGACCAGCCGAGGCACAUGCCCGAUUGCAACACAGCGUUUGGGAACCGUGCCCUUGCAUGAAAGCUCUGGCCUCUGUGUGCCUACCGAGUCACUUGGCACCAACCACCAUCCACUUGAAACGCACAUUCCCUGCUUGGCGAAUAUUCUCAAAUGCUGAUGGGAUCUUUAAGUCACACAGACCCAGUCCCGCAGCCACACAAAUGCCCCUGGCCAUGCUGACGGCGACACAGCUGUCCUGACGCCUCUGUCCCCGGCGAUGCCAACGAAAUCACGCAGGCCUGAGCCCGACUUCGAGAGGAAAGCUUGCCUCUGGCCGGGGUGGCUGAUAGAAACCAGAGCCUGGGAACGCUGUCCCGCCCAGGUGGCCAGGGCCACGGAACCUUUGAACUGUGGAGAGUCCCUCGGAACGGAGAUGUACGUGCAAAAUACACUCUGGAUUUCAAAGAAUACAAAACCGGGGGUGG